UCUUGGACACUAGCUGGGAUCCAAGGCCCGAGCACGCAGGGCACGCCCCGACCCUAUGUUUAUAAUACUGCCCGGCACCUUCCCUCAGUCUGAGCACUCUACAUGCCGAGACCCAAGUCUCGUGCUUCUAAUUAAUUAAUUAAUUAAUUAUCUAACUAAUUAAUUAAAUUAAUAUUAAAUUAAUUAAUUUUUUAAUAUCUACUUAUAUUUAAUUAACAUAAUUUAAAUAAAAAAUUAACUUUUAGUGAUGGCAUUAGCUGUCGCUAAUGCCAUCGCUAAUAUUCAUAGUAGAAGGUAGGUUGCCAUGUAGGGAUUG
rnacentral:lncRNA from 1 species